GUCUCUUCCUCAGUCAGUUGCCUUCCUUAAAUCUAGACCAAAGGCAUUAGAGUUCUAGACCAACAACAAUGGCAUCUGUGUGUUUAGAAAUAUUUUGACCAAUGAAGGGGUGGUGGAGGACGGGGUAUUUGGAACAAGAUUUCUGUGCUUUGAAUAUUAAACAUAACUGAAUAGCAGCACCAGGGACCAAGUUUUUAAUAUAUGGCACUCCUGAGUCCACAUAACUUAAAUGUUUACCUGUAUUUAGAUGAGUAAAAGUAAAGGCAAUGGGCCGUUGUGCUUGCCACAUGACACCCUGCUCGUUAACCGUUGGCCAAAGAAACAGAUGACCUUACACAUCAUCUGCCCUAUAGAUCGCAAGGUCUAAAAGGGGAAAGAAACAUCCUUACUUGCCAGCCGUCCAAGUAGUAUGCUGGAUGAUUUUGUUUUCAUUUAGAAAGCAUUAGUAUCCAAGGUGCAGAUGAUGUAAAGCUGGUCUGUUUCUAUGGCUGGCUGUGUGCCCAGCACAAUGACUAUCCACCUUUGCUUUUUCUACCUGCUGCCAGAUACUGUAUUGGGUGGACAGUGGAGCGACGUCCUGCAAUGGACCUCAUUCACCAAUUGUAAACAAACAACAUUUUGCCACGUGGUUCUCUAUCUCUUCUAUACAAAUUACGCAAUCCAUAAAGGCUGUCACGUGAUACGUAAUUUCAUUGUUUUAGCAAUAUAAUCACGUGGCUAAAUGUUGUUUGUUUACGAUUGGUGAAUGAGGUCCAUUCCUGAAGUUCAAAAUCGUUCGAUUCAAACCCGAGACACUAACGUGACUAGCCAUUAUGUUGUGCCACACGGUCGCCACGCACUAUCGUAUGUUAUGAUUAUCUGUCGAUCAAAUAUCUGUUUGUAAGCCCGCCUUUCUGAAGAAAUAGAACUAAUAUAAACAUAAAUAUUGACUACUGAUUGGCACACUUAUCUAUUAAUAUCUAAGUUGUCAAUGUGUCAUUGCAGGUAAAUGAUACAGCUUAUUCCUUUGUGACGUUUUUUUUAUGAGUCACAUCCGGUUCAAAGGUGACGAUUGCAAAAGGUUCUGGACCAUUCACUCUGGAACGUUCCAGAUUUAGAUCUAGUAGGUGGAGCUUAGAAUGAUAGGAUUAUUUUCAAGUACCCUCAUAGUGUAGCCCAGAGUUGGUUCAGUCAAGCAAGGGGUUCCACGUCACUGGAAUCAGGGAUUUAGGUCAAAUUCAACAGGGUUAAAGGGAGAGAGAGAGACUUCACCUGCAAUAAAAUGGAUAUGAAGUGUUGCUGACGUCAUUGAAGAACACACUAGAAGAAAAAACUUAACAUAAAAUAAAACUUCUGAAACUGUGACCAACAUUCUAAUAAAAAAUCUUACGUACGCG